GACGAACCGUGCGACCGUUAUUCGGAAUCACUGGGCUUAAAGCGCGUGUAGGCGGGCCGGCACGUCGGUCGCUGAAAGCCCCCGGCUCAACCGGGGAACGGGCGCCGAUACGACCGCCCUGGAGGGACGUAGGGGGACCUGGAACUUCCGGUGGAGCGGUGAAAUGCGUUGAGAUCGGAAGGAACGCCCGUGGCGAAAGCGAGGUCCUGGACGUUUUCUGACACUGAGACGCGAAAGCCAGGGGAGCGAACGGG
rnacentral:rRNA from 1 species